GCACAGAGUUAGCCGGUGCUUAUUCUGUCGGUAACGUCAAAAUUGCAGAGUAUUAAUCUACAACCCUUCCUCCCAACUUAAAGUGCUUUACAAUCCGAAGACCUUCUUCACACACGCGGCAUGGCUGGAUCAGGCUUUCGCCCAUUGUCCAAUAUUCCCCA
rnacentral:rRNA from 1 species